rnacentral:misc_RNA from 1 species
GCCCGAAUCCCUUGGACAGGGACGUUCCACCCUUGAAGAGGAGGCGAGGUCCUCCCUCUUUCAGGCCGUUGAACAAGGCAUCCAGCGUCCAGCAGACCCAGAAGUCCUUCUCGAUAUUCUGGGAUGCCGUGCCGAGGCGCAGCGCCGUCGUAUCGAACGCGCUCAACAUCGCGUCCGACCCGGCCGCGAGAACCUCAUCGAAAGCCGGGUUCAUGCCUUCGCCCUCCGGGCUGCGCCGCGAUU